rnacentral:rRNA from 1 species
GUAGGGUGCAAGCGUUAAUCGGAAUUACUGGGCGUAAAGCGUGCGCAGGCGGCCUUGCAAGACAGAUGUGAAAUCCCCGGGCUUAACCUGGGAACUGCAUUUGUGACUGCAAGGCUGGAGUACGGCAGAGGGGGAUGGAAUUCCGCGUGUAGCAGUGAAAUGCGUAGAUAUGCGGAGGAACACCGAUGGCGAAGGCAAUCCCCUGGGCCUGUACUGACGCUCAUGCACGAAAGCGUGGGGAGCAAACAGGAUUAGAUACCCUGGUAGUCCACGCCCUAAACGAUGUCAACUGGUUGUUGGACGGCUUGCUGUUCAGUAACGAAGCUAACGCGUGAAGUUGACCGCCUGGGGAGUACGGCCGCAAGGUUG